UUAGCAACUGAACAACAACAAAAUGGAAGGUGCGCCAGAGGAGCAAGGGCAGUGGGGGAAGGCAGUAAAAACAAGAAUAUAAAGAAAGGGCAUUAAGGAAUGGAAACAUGGUCAGCCCAGUCUGGUCAUCGUCUGGAGGAAUCUUUUUCACAGUUGAAUAUUAUUGAGGACCCUAAAAAGCUACUGCUUAUGUGUAUUAUAUCUACAGAUAUCUAUUGUUAGAAGAAAUUAAAACUGAGAAAUGCUUCAAGUGCAAACAUCACAAGCACACAUUGCGUUAGUCGUUGGAGAGCUGAUGUCAUCACAAGUCAUAUGUGGCCUCUGGGAAGCUCUACUAUCUGUUCUUGAGAGAAUGAAAGUGAAAAAGGCAGGGAGAAGGACUGGAGAGUCACAAUUUCCUGAUAAUAAGCAAUCAUGUCCCUACAUGAUGAAGCCUCCAUAAAAAUCUGUAAAGGGUUUGGAGAGCUUCUGGGUUGGUGAACACACCCACAGGCCCGGAGAGUGCUGCACCCCCACUCCACAGGGACAGAAGCUCCUGUGCCUGGCAACCUUCCAGACCUUGCCUUACCCUUACGUACCUCUUCAUCUGGCUGUUUAUUUCUUAUCUUUUCCUAUAUCCUUUACAAUAAACCAGUAAACUUA